AAUGUUGCUUCCUGACAGUGGCAGCUGGGAUAGUCCCCAGCGAGGGAGAUCCAGUGCUGGUCCUGCCUUUGCUUCUCAGUCUGAAUCAGAGUUUGCACAACUUGUCAGUGAGCCAGGGUGUUGUGGCAGAGACCUGGACUAGACACUAGGAGAUUGGCUUCUGUCUCUGAUGGGAACUCACUGGACUCAUGGAAGUGACCUGGAUUGAGUUCCAGCACACAAAUUGGAAAAAUCUGCCCAGCUGCUUCCUUACCGCUUCCCGAGCAGGACUACUUCUCUUAUGUCAGGAGGAUGGUGAGAUGGAUUAAUUGCCCUAAUGGCCUCCAUUUGUCAUCCCCACACGACCACACUUCUCACAAGGUAAAAGUUUAGCACCUCCUCU